AGUAAGAACAGGAUGAGUGAUGAGAAGAGAGGUGGAGGGUCAGUGAUAAAGACAGGAUGAGGUGUUGGAGAAAGAGGUGAUGAGGGGUCAGUAGUAAGAGACAGAAUGAGAGCUGGAGAAGAGAGGUGAUGAGGGGUCAGUAGUAAGAGACAGGAUGAGUGAUGGAGAAGAGAGGUGAUGAGGGGUCAGUAGUAAGAGACAGGAUGAGUGAUGGAGAAGAGAGGUGAUGAGGGGUCAGUAGUAAGAGACAGG
rnacentral:lncRNA from 1 species